rnacentral:tRNA from 1 species
AGAGAAAGUAAGACGACUGAAUUAUAGGGUUUUUAAGCAUGCGUUUUGCUAAUGCUGUCAUUAUUACUAUCGAUUAGAGUCUCGUAGCUCAGCCGGUUAGAGCGCUACACUGAUAAUGUAGAGGUCGGCAGUUCGAGUCUGCCCGAGACUACAACGAUAAAGGGAAUUUAUAGUUGAGAGUUCUACAUUUUGAAUUCUUUUCAGAUUCAGAAUGGGGAAUUAGCUCAGCUGGCUAGAGCACUUGAUUUGCAUUCAAGAGGUCGUGGGUUCGACUCCCACAUUCUCCACAAGUUUUUAACUUAAACGAUCAUUGACAUAUUGAAAAUUUUUAUUUCACAAACACCAGUUAUCCAAUUUGUGUUUGUGAAUAUAGAUACACUACAAGGUAUAAAUUGGUUUUUACCAAUUUGUACGAAGGUAUGAAUUGGUUUUUACCAAUUUGUACGAGCAUAAUAAUAAAUACAAUUUCAAAGAAAAGUAAAGUUAC